GACGAACGCUGGCGGCGUGCCUAAUACAUGCAAGUAGAACGCUGAGGACUGGUGCUUGCACUGGUCUAAGGAGUUGCGAACGGGUGAGUAACGCGUAGGUAACCUACCUCACAGCGGGGGAUAACUAUUGGAAACGAUAGCUAAUACCGCAUGACAAUAGGGUACACAUGUACCCUAUUUAAAAGGGGCAAAUGCUUCACUAUGAGAUGGACCUGCGUUGUAUUAGCUAGUUGGUAAGGUAACGGCUUACCAAGGCGACGAUACAUAGCCGACCUGAGAGGGUGAUCGGCCACAAGGGGACUGAGACACGGCCCUU
rnacentral:rRNA from 1 species